rnacentral:rRNA from 1 species
GACGUAGGUGGCGAACGUUAUCCGGAAUUAUUGGGCGUAAAGGGUGCGUAGAUGGUGUGAUAAGUUAUCAGUGGGAAAUCGAGGCUCAACCUCGUGGAAGCUGGUAAUACUAUUAUACUAGAGUGCAGGAGAGGUUAAUGGAACUCCAUGUGGAGCGGUAAAAUGCGUAGAUAUAUGGAAGAACAUCAAUAACGGCGAAGGCAGUUAACUAUUCUGUUACUGACAUUGAGGCACGAAAGCGUGGGGAGCAAAACGG